GAUGAACGCUGGCGGCGUGCCUAAUACAUGCAAGUCGAGCGAACAGACGAGGAGCUUGCUCCUCUGACGUUAGCGGCGGACGGGUGAGUAACACGUGGAUAACCUACCUAUAAGACUGGGAUAACUUCGGGAAACCGGAGCUAAUACCGGAUAAUAUAUUGAACCGCAUGGUUCAAUAGUGAAAGACGGUUUUGCUGUCACUUAUAGAUGGAUCCGCGCCGCAUUAGCUAGUUGGUAAGGUAACGGCUUACCAAGGCAACGAUGCGUAGCCGACCUGAGAGGGUGAUCGGCCACACUGGAACUGAGACACGGUCCAGACUCCUACGGGAGGCAGCAGUAGGGAAUCUUGCGCAAAGGGCGAAAGCCUGACGGAGCAACGCCGCGUGAGUGAUGAAGGUCUUCGGAUCGUAAAACUCUGCUAUUAGGGAAGAACAAAUGUGUAAGUAACUAUGCACGUCUUGACGGUACCUAAUCAGAAAGCCACGGCUAACUACGUG
rnacentral:rRNA from 1 species